AGGCCAGAAAUGUAAAUCCCUAUGCAACAGAGUGCAAAGAUUGGGGAGAAAAGACGUAGUUGGCCACCUGCUCCAAACCAGUUGUGGUAGCCCAGGAAUAUGCCCAGUUCCUGAGCUGAGGACCCUUCCCAGAUGUGUACUUUGCCAAUGAGAGUUGAGC